rnacentral:rRNA from 1 species
AUGGAACGGAUGGCCAACUCCUACUUCAAGGAGGUUUUUACAAAAGACCCGACCUUGGAUCCGAACAAGGUGUUGGACAGGAUCGCCCCUAAGGUCUCCGCGGAGAUGAAUGAGGCCUUGUGUCAACAAUACACGGAGGAGGAGAUAUCUAAUGCGCUAUUUCAAAUCGGUCCGUUGAAAGCACCGGGUUGUGCUGGUUUCCCGGCCAGGUUUUAUCAACGGAAUUGGGCUGUUCUCAAGGAUGAGAUAGUGGCAGUUGUGCAGGAGUUUUUUACCACUGGUGUCAUGCCGAAUGGGGUUAACGACACGUCCAUUGUGCUAAUUCCUAAAGUGCCACAUCCGAGAGAGCUGAAGGAUUUUCGGCCCAUUAGUUUGUGCAAUGUGGUGUAUAAGAUCGUGUCAAAGUGCAUGGUGAAUAGGCUUCGGCCUCUCUUAACUGAGCUUAUUUCUGAAAAUCAGAGUGCCUUCAUCCCCGGGAGGCUCAUCUCUGAUAAAUCCAUCAUUGCAUUUGAGUGCAUCCAGCACAUCCAGACCGCCAAGGAAAAUUCACCAUCGUUGUGUGCUUAUAAACUGGAUUUGUCAAAGGCUUAUGACCGUGUGGAUUGGAGUUUCCUGGAGAGGGCGCUUUCUAAGUGGGGAUUCUCUUAUCAAUGGAUCUCCCGCGUGAUGGCAUGCGUUACCUCAGUGAAGUACUCGGUGAAAUUCGAUGGGAAAUUGUUGGAGCCCUUCUCCCCUUCGAGAGGGCUCCGCCAAGGUGAUCCAUUAUCCCCCUUCCUCUUCCUUUUUGUGGCUGAUGCUCUUUCUAUUCUGUUGAAUAAGUCAAUGAGAGAAGAAGGACUACAAGGGGUCAAGAUAUGCAGGAGUGCUCCGGUUAUAUCACAUCUUCUGUUUGCGGAUGACUCCCUUCUGUUUUUUCACGCAUCAGAACAACAAGCUCUUUUGGUUAAAGGUGUGUUGAACACGUAUACGGCGGCGACUGGACAAUUAAUCAACCCAUCGAAGUGCUCCAUCCUUUUCUCAGAUAAUUGCUUGCCAAGUGUGGUGCAGGAGGUUAAAUCUGUUCUGGAGAUUACACAAGAAGUUUUUGAACCGAAGUACUUGGGCCUUCCGGUCCCGGAAGGAAGAAUCCACAAAGGAAAUUUCAAAACCAUCCAGGAACGAUUACACAAGAAACUCAUUGAUUGGAGUGAGCAAUAUGUUUCCUCUGGCAAUAAGGAGAUUUUGAUCAAGGCUUGGCCUGCCUACUUAUGUCAUGAGUGUCUUUAA